UCUCAGCCCAGGACCUGGCUCCUAUUGGCAAGUACUACACAGACGUGAAGAGUGAGUGAAUGGGUGCCCGAGAGAGAUGGCAGUCAUGGGGGCAUGCUUCCUCCAGCCUCUUCCCUGUUCUUGCCCCUCCUGGGCCCUCCUUCUCCUCCUCCCUUACUCACUUCCUUUUAUUGCCCUGAAGCUGGACUCCUCCAAAAUCCCUGCCCAGGGGCUCUCAGCUGAAGGAUGUGGUGGACACAUGAGGAUACAUCUUAGCUCUGGAUUUGAAACCUCAGUUUCCCUGAGGGAAGGUCUGCGAUGCAUACGCUCAUUAUACAGAUGAACUACCUUGAUUCAGGAGGUAAGUUUGGCUUUGGUCAAAACUGCUCAGAAGGAUGAUGGCAGAGCAACUUCUGAAACUCCUCCAUGUCACUGACUUGGGGUGACUCAUCUUGUUGCUAGGUUGGCUCAUUAUCUCAGCGUGAACACUUUUUGGUGAACCUUGUGGUUACAGGGCUGGUGAAAUCCCCAACCAAGUCUUCUGCCUAAAGAAAGUUGCAUUUAUAUCAACAAGAAUAAUACUUAUGCUAAUGGUGGCUAGCACGGAUGCCAGGAACUUUCCCAAUCCUUUAUUGCAGGGGUCUGAAGUCUGUGACCCGCAGGCCAGAUCUUGUUUCUGCAAAAGAGGCUUUAUUGGAACACAGCCAUGCCAAUCUGUUUAUGUACGCCUGUGUCUGCUUUCUUGCUGUCAUAGCAGAAUUGAGUAGUUGUGACUGCCCGUAUCGUCCCCGAAGCCUAAAAUAUUCAUCAUCUGGCCCCUCACGAGUGGAGUUUGCCAAUCUCUGCUUUAUAUUCAUUAUUUGACACGAUGGCCCAGGUCUUUUUACAUCACCGUUUUACAGAUGAAGAAACUGAGGCUCACACAAGACAGUUGAUUUCCUUGAGGUUUCGCAGAGACAGGAAGAGACCUGGAGAUUCUAUGUUCAGAACCUGUGAUCGUCCUCACAUGUUCUCCUGGAAGUGACAGCGUUGGUUUGAUCUUGAAGGAGAAAGCAGAGGCUGGGCUGAUUCCUGAUAGAUUCCAGGACUCCAAACACUGAACGCUCCAAUGGCAUUUCUUUUUUUUGGACAAAUGCUCUGAUUAUCUAUUGUUGCAUAAAGAUUCCCCUCAACAGGUGGUUGAAAAUAACAACAAUCACUUACUUUGCUCCCAAAUCUGCAACUGAGCAGGGCAGAGAAGGGAUGGCUGUUCUCCAUGCAGUGUCAGCAGCGGCGGGUCAAGCAAGGCUGAGGAUUUGCCUCCAAGAUGACUUGUACGUGGCUGGCCAGUUGGUUCUGGCUCCUGGUCUCUCUGUAGGAGCAUUUUGCAGGCAUGUGUUGGGCUUCCUCACAGCAUGGUAACUGUGUCCCGAGAGGAAGCAUCCUAAGACCAGGAGAUGGAAUUCUCCAGGAUUCUUAAAGCCCUGGACACUACUUCCAUUGUGUGCUUUUGGUCGGGUGUCAUAGACCAGCCUCCAUUCAAAGAAGGGGGAGGAGACCCCAUCUCUUAAUGAGACCAGUGUCAAAGAAUUUUGGGGUCAUAUUUAAAAACUCACUGCAAAUAUUCAUAUUCAUCUCAGGGGUCCCUCAGGCCAUCAUUCUGAUCCAGCAUAGACUAUGUCUGGUUAGGGUCACCUGGUCAUUUCUUUCCCAAACUGGGACUCACCAGCAGACUGGAAGGAUGGUCUAAAUAACACUACCAGGCAGUGAGUGCAAAUCAGAACUGUCUCAACCUACCAGCUAUGCAGUCACCCUAUCCUUGGGGGGCAAUGAUUAAUGUCUUGUUGGUGUCCUCAAGUCAUCUUGGGAAGGUGAUGUUAGGACCCAUGUUCUGUUUCAGUAUGGGAACACAUUUAGGAAAAUGUUGGUAAGUUGUUUAAAAAUGAAGAGUAAUUUUUUCCUGGAUGUAAAUCUUCAGUUAUCUGGAAAACUCAUUUAAACAGAGCUUCUGCUUCCCCGAAUCUUCUGGUUAACCACACCGCUCUUGUUGGAUAUGGCACCCUCAGAUGCGGAGCCCCCCUGAAUGCUACUGGCUGUGGCCAUGCUGGCUCCUUUUGCUGAGCUCCGUACUAGAUUCUGGAAAAGCAGAGAUGGCCACCAGGUACCGCGAUUGAGGAAAUCAGUUACUACUGAAUCAUAUGCUGCAACGAGAAAUAAUAUCUGAAAAUUCACAACCUCUACGAAGCGUGACUUCUGGGCCUCUUUUUUAUACCAUUGCCUGCCUCAUACCCCACCUUGGACCCCUUUCUCUUCCCUCCACUGUGAAGUCAUAUGAUAAUUUCUCACCGGAAAUGAAAGACUCUUCCUGCAAAAAUGACUUUGGAAAGUUCCUGGAGCGCACUACAAGGUGUCUGGUUUAUUAUUAUUAUUUUUUUAAUCGGUAUAGAUCUGGGGUCACUGCUUGUGAAUUGGGGUUUGACUGUGCCUAUCGGCCUUGACACUUUGCUUCAAAAGUUAAGAUGUGCCAUCAGUAAUGGCUUGAUUUUAUCGGUUCCCUCCCAUGGAUGUAGUUCGUGAAAUUUUAUUGUUGAGACUCAGAACUUGAGACUCGGUUGAUUGUGAUUCUUAGCUCUGAAAAUGUUCAUGUGUAUUUUGGAGGGAGAGAUCACACCAGGGUGGCUAUGUGGAUUCUAUUAACCCCAGAGCCUCCCCUCACCAUUUUGUCUUUAUGAUUGUCACUGUUGCUGUUGAAAACAGAUCAUGAUUUUAAAUGUGCAUAAUCUCAGGUCUGAUGCAAAAUUAAUACCAAUUGCUUGAUUUUCACACCAAGACAUUAAUUACUAUUUAUUUUGCAUUUGCAUUCACAGGUAUCUGUGGAGGGAAAUUAGCAUACUCUGUUG